UGAGUAAUAUUGGGCAAUGCCCGCAAGGGUGACCCAGCAACGCCGCGUGGAGGAUGAAUGUCGUAAGAUUGUAAACUCCUGUUAGAGGGGAAGAAUAGUACCGGUUGGACCGGUAUAUGACUGUACCCUCAGAGAAAGCCCCGGCUAACUACGUGCCAGCAGCCGCGGUAAUACGUAGGGGGCAAGCGUUGUCCGGAUUUACUGGGUGUAAAGGGCGCGCAGGCGGGAUAAAAAGUCAGUGGUGAAAUCCUACAGCUUAACUGUAGAACUGCCUUUGAUACUUUUAUUCUUGAGUUCGGGAGAGAGAGACGGAAUUCCAGGUGUAGUGGUGAAAUACGUAGAUAUCUGGAAGAACACCAGUUGCGAAGGCGGUCUCUUGGUCCGACACUGACGCUGAGGCGCGAAAGCGUGGGGAGCAAACA
rnacentral:rRNA from 1 species